rnacentral:rRNA from 1 species
AGCGAACGCUGGCGGCAGGCCUAACACAUGCAAGUCGAACGAACUCUUCGGAGUUAGUGGCGGACGGGUGAGUAACACGUGGGAACGUGCCUUUAGGUUCGGAAUAACUCAGGGAAACUUGUGCUAAUACCGAAUGUGCCCUUCGGGGGAAAGAUUUAUCGCCUUUAGAGCGGCCCGCGUCUGAUUAGCUGGUUGGUGAGGUAAAGGCUCACCAAGGCGACGAUCAGUAGCUGGUCUGAGAGGAUGAUCAGCCACAUUGGGACUGAGAGACGGCCCAAACUCCUACGGGAGGCAGCAGUGGGGAAUCUUGCGCAAUGGGCGAAAGCCUGACGCAGCCAUGCCGCGUGAAUGAUGAAGGUCUUAGGAUUGUAAAAUUCUUUCACCGGGGACGAUAAUGACGGUACCCGGAGAAGAAGCCCCGGCUAACUUCGUG